rnacentral:lncRNA from 1 species
UCAGCAGGCAGGCGUGGUGCAGAAGCAGCAGGCAGGCAAGGGUGGUGCAGGAGCAGCAGGCAGGCAUGGGGCAAGAGCAGCAGGCACGCAGGCAAGCAUGGCGCAGGGGCAGCAGGCAGGCAGGCAUGGCGCAAGAGCAGCAGGCAGGCAGGCAGGCAUGGCUCAGGAGCAGCAGGCAGGCAGGCAGGCAUGGCUCAGGAGCAGUAGCUGAGAGCUUGUGUCCUGACCCACAGGGACACAACAGAGAGAACUAUCUGGAAUAGUAUGGGCAUUUUGAAACCAUAAAGCCCACUCCCACUGACAAACCAGCUCCAACAUGGCCACGCCUCCCAAUCCUUCCCAAACAGUUCCACCAACUGGGGACAAAGCAUUCAAAUAGACGAGCUUCUGGAGGCCACUCUAAUUUAAGCCACGACAGCAUGGUGUUUGUCUGCAUGUUUAUUUAAGAGCCAUAUAUAUACCUGAUGUCCCAAGAAGAAGAGGUCAGAUUGUUGCUGGACUUGGGAUUUCCAUGGGGUGAACUGUCUGCACAGGUGUCCAGGUUCUUCCCCAAAAUGAGCAAAGAAUUGAAUGGCCAGAGACCAAAAGGAAAGACUCAGAAGGAGGUUUUAUGGAGGAAGGAAGCAAAGAGCGAAAGCACCCUGUUGGGAAGAGGGGGUCCUCAGAGCUGGAGGACUUCCAAGUGGUGUCCCACUAGUCCUUUUGUGCAGCCUCCAGACCUUUCUCCUCUUUGACUCUCUUUCUUAUAUGUUAUUUCCUCUGUGCAAACUGAAAAUUCCCUUCAAACAGC